UACAGAGGGUGCGAGCGUUAAUCGGAAUUACUGGGCGUAAAGCGUGCGUAGACGGUUAUGUAAGUCGGAUGUGAAAGCCCCGGGCUCAACCUGGGAAUUGCAUUCGAGACUGCAUAGCUAGGAUGCGGAAGAGGGAAGUGGAAUUUCCGGUGUAGCGGUGAAAUGCGUAGAUAUCGGAAGGAACACCAGUGGCGAAGGCGGCGUCCUGGACCAACACUGACACUGAUGAGCGAAAGCCAGGGGAGCAAACGGG
rnacentral:rRNA from 1 species